rnacentral:other from 1 species
UGUUCCCUGCGGUGCUGCCGGAUCAUAGAUUCCGUGAACCAUACUUCGAGCAUUCGGUUGCGGCUUAUACGAACACUGUUGCGCGCGUCCUUUCGGAUGUGCCUGAAGUGCUCCCGCUGUGGCCACCUGGUCAACCAGGUUCAGGAUGCUGGUCCAACGGCAUUUGCGGGGAACUC